CUACGGGAGGCUGCAGUGAGGAAUAUUGCACAAUGGGGGGAACCCUGAUGCAGCAACGCCGCGUGGAGGAUGACGCAUUUCGGUGUGUAAACUCCUUUUAUAUGUCAAGAAAAUGACGGCAGCAUAUGAAUAAGCACCGGCUAACUCCGUGCCAGCAGCCGCGGUAAUACGGAGGGUGCAAGCGUUACUCGGAAUCACUGGGCGUAAAGGACGCGUAGGCGGGUUGGAAAGUCAGGUGUGAAAUCCUACAGCUUAACUGUAGAACUGCACUUGAAACUUCUAAUCUAGAGUAUGGGAGGGGGAGAUAGAAUUAGUGGUGUAGGGGUAAAAUCCGUAGAUAUCACUAGGAAUACCUAAAGCGAAGGCGAUCUCCUGGAACAUUACUGACGCUAAGGCGUGAAAGCGUGGGGAGCAAACAGGAUUAGAUACCCCCGUAGUC
rnacentral:rRNA from 1 species